AAAAUAAUCUAAUAAACAGGAGAAAAGACAUAGGACCUUUUUUUUGGGACUAAUUCAGGGAUUUUAUAAAUAAUAAAGCAAAACACAACUUAUGUCUUUACACAAAAAAGGACCAAUCCAUCUAAAAAAAUUGCACAAAACAAAAUAAAAAGGCCUACUCCUAUCUGAUACCUGACCGGCCCAAUCCACCUAGACUAUUACAUAUGUCCACACUCUUAGGGUUUCCUAAAUGAAGCUCCAUCUUCAUCCACCACAUUAUCCCCAAAACACCUGAAAAAUGAAGAACUUUCCCUUGCUUAAUCGUUGAUUCCUCUUGUACCAGCUUUGGGUGAUUAACUUCGUGCCUUGGCUCAUUGAUUGCUUCUUAUUUAAGCUUGCAUAAUUGUGCUCUCUGGUUGAUGGGAAUUACAAAUCUUUUUUGUGCACUACUGAGGUUUCUAGGCCCCUGAAGAAUGUAACUUCUCUGAGUAAGCUCAGAUCCCAACUCUUGUCCCUUUUUCAAAUCAUGAUUUAAUUUUUUCAUUCCUCUAUUGUUGUAGCCACGGCCAGUAUAGAGAUAAUGGGAUGCUCAAAACCAUAAGUGGUCGGAGAUUAACAUACUCUUCAGGUGUACCAAAUGCAUAAUAUCCAUAUAACCUUCUCCUUUUCUACUAGUCCUUUUUGUUGGCUGCUAUAGUAUAGGCUAGAUAGCUUUUUCACUCUUUUUGAUACCUUAAUGGCUUGUAAAUACUUAUAUGUGAACAAACUAAGUUGUAGCCUUCCCAGCCUCUUCACCCUAUCAUUGGUGACAAUCUUAAGUAGGUACAUAGUAAUUUAUCACUAUUAACAAUCUUCUUGCCUGUAACUUCUAACUGCUGGAAAGAUGUGAUUGUGAAUUCCUCUUCAUCAAUGGAUAAAUUAGUUAAAUGAUCCGCCAA